UUACCUGCAGGACCCGGUUUCUCCGACUCAAGCGGGAGCAUCUCGUCAUUCCCCCAGGUGAUGCCCGGCCAGCCCACAUUGACGAACGUGGAAUUCUCAGUAGGUAGGACAGCGGAAGCAAGGCGUGGCGCCGGGCAGCCCUCAAACUUCCUUCUGAACACGAUGACCUGUCACUUCCCCCGUCGCGUUCACAUCGCCUACGAUGAAGGAGAAUAUUCAGGAAAGCUUGCGGACUGAGACCAGGCGGCCGGGUGAAGUGUUCUCAGCCCACUUCAGCCUUAUAUUCGUGCCCGAAUCCUCCCUGAAGACUGGCGUGGCCUUGAGUCAUCGUCUGACAAGAUCUGCUAAUGGGGUCAUUGCAGACAGCCACAAACCCCCAACGUCUGAGCGGGCUGGGGCUGCUGCCAAGGGGUUUCGCCUGCCUCCACCUCCCGCCUUCUCCGGUUCCCCAUCCAAGCUGAUGCUUGUAAAGGAAACAUCUUUUCAGGCGAGGGGACUGUGUGUUUGGUUUGUCUUUGUUGCCUGGAAACUGUUGACAUCCCGAGACAUUCUGUUGCCUGCGCUGGCUCAUGAAAAAUUGAUGACUUUUUUUCUCUGUCAACAAACUCGCAGCCUGUUCACCUUGACUGGGAAGGGGCGGGAAGCUUGCUCCCUGCUCCGCUCCGCAGCUGUUUGCUUUCUU
ensembl:lncRNA